rnacentral:misc_RNA from 1 species
UUUUUGAAUUGUUCGCUUUCACCGCUCAUGACGCUCUCCAAAACUUCGAUUGAUGAUGGGAUAAUCCAACAGCCUUUAGCGGUUGGGCAAUGAUCCGACAAUCGCCGGUUCUGCCGCGCCGGUAUGACCCACGCGAUGAUGUCAGCUAGUUCGCUUUCGCGCCCGACGCCUGGAUGACCGGCGACCAUUUCGCCACUUCGGCCUUGAGGUGGGCGGACAGCGCCUCCGGCGUCGCCUGCUCCGGCUUCACCG